UACGUACUCCCUCCGUCCAACAAAGAAUGUCUCAACUUUGACUAAAUUUGAAUGCAUCUAUACACUAAGUCAUGUCUAGAUACAUCCAAAUUUUGACAAACUUGAGACAUCUUUUGUUGGAUGGAGGGAGUAGUAC
rnacentral:pre_miRNA from 1 species